GAUCAUUACUGAAUUGUCAAACGGGUUGUUGCUGGCCCUCAUAGGGGGCAUGUGCACGCUCUGUUUACACAUCCACUCACACCUGUGCACCCUCUGUAGUUCUAUGGUCUGGGGGACCCUGUCUUCCUUCUGUGGUUCUACGUCUUUACACACACACUGUAAUAAAGUUUUAUGGAAUGUACAUCGCGUCUAACGCAAUACAAUACAACUUUCAGCAACGGAUCUCUUGGCUCUCGCAUCGAUGAAGAACGCAGCGAAAUGCGAUAAGUAAUGUGAAUUGCAGAAUUCAGUGAAUCAUCGAAUCUUUGAACGCACCUUGCGCCCCUUGGCUAUUCCGAGGGGCAUGCCUGUUUGAGUAUCAUGAACACCUCAACUCUCAUGGUUUGCCAUGAUGAGUUGGACUCUGGGGGUUUUGCUGGCCUGUGGUCGGCUCCUCUCAAAUUAAUCAGCCUCCCAGUGUUUGGUGGCAUCACGGGUGUGAUAAAUAUCUACGCUCGCUGUUGUCUGCCAGGUAACCUUUGGUCACAAAGGUUUGCUGGAGCUCACAGAUGUCUCUCCUCAGCGAGGACAGCUUUUUUAACGUUCGAUCUCAAAUCAGGUAGGACUACCCGCUGAACUUAAGCAUAUCAAUAAGCGGAGGAAAAGAAACUAACAAGGAUUCCCCUAGUAACUGCGAGUGAAGCGGGAAAAGCUCAAAUUUAAAAUCUGGCGUGCCUCUGGUCGUCCGAGUUGUAGUUUAGAGAAGCGUUUUCUGUGCUGGA
rnacentral:sRNA from 1 species